UGGCAACCAGCUUGGGUCUGCUCCCACGCUGUUGGGGCGGGGGCGGGGGGGGGGUUGUUCUUUUGCUCCUUGGGUCCACACUGCGUUUAUGAGCUGUAAUAUUCACCGCAAAGGUCUGCAGCUUCACUACUAAGCCAACGAGACCACAAACCCACCAGGAGGAACGACAAUUCCAGACGCGUGGCUUUAACAGCUGUUAACACUCACCGCGAAGGUCUGUAGCUUCAUUUCUGAGUCAGCGAGACCACGAACCCACCAGAAAGAAGAAACUCCGAACACACCCGAACCUCAGAAGGAACAAAUUCCGGACACGCCGCCUUUAAGAACUGUAACACUCACCACAAGGGUCCGCGGCUUCAUUCUUGAAGUCAGUGAGACCAAGAACCCACUAAUUCCGGACACACUUUGACCAGCAGAGCAGGCAGAAGUAAAGCCACGGUUCACAGAAGUGGCUGCCCCGGCUGGACACAGGCUCAAUCUUGCUGGAAUCUGUCCUCUUACUCCCCUACCCCAGCCCAGUGCCCCACCAGCGUGCUCCACUCAGCAUCCUGAUUUUCCCUGGAAUGUGCCACUUUGCCACCAUUUCCCUUUCAACAGAUGGAAU
rnacentral:lncRNA from 1 species